UGCAGCCGUCGCCUUCUAGUCUUCGCCGCACGAGCUCUCCUCUCCCCUUUCAGCGCCUUGUCCUCCCAGCUAGGGUUGCCGCCGUCGCCCCCCCAUCCAUGACCGGAUCCGCGGAGGUGGCUGGCAGGGUUAGGUCGUUGGCGCCGAGAAAAAGGAACAGCGGCAGGGCAGUUCUGUCAUGCAGGGUUGAGUGGCGGCCGGAGCGGGUCGGCCACAGAGAUGGCCGUCCGCGGCGCCGUCCUCAGGCAGAGAAGGGAGGGGAGGAUGAGAUGAAGAGAGGAGGGAGAGUGAGACGGCGAGCCCAUGGAGAAGCGCCACCGGGAGCAGAUCUGGCCGUCGGCGGCAAGAAGGUCACGCCCUCCUCCACCUCCGUACGGUCACCCAGGUCUGGUCUAUGCUAAAUGAAUGUUGGUGUGCUAGGGCUAGUUGUAUCUGUAGUGCACGAGUGUGUCCAGGAGAAGGAGCACAGCAACUCCUUGGACAAUGGUCUGUCCUAAUGAUGUAUGUUUGUUUGCUAACAUAGUGCUAAUGGGUGUGCAAAUUAAGGUUCGGCCGUGUCUACGGCAGCGGCGGGGACCUCCGCCUGUGGGUCUAUGUCUUGCUGCUCAACCUCUCUUCUAGGUACAUUGACUCAUAGCGAAGUUACAAUAGUAUGGAGUAGAGACAAAUUAUUCUCUCGGAAGUAAACUCGUCUCAAGGUAAAUACUACAGGAAGCACUCUAAAUGUUCAUACCAUCCCUGAAUAUAUUGGAUUUAGAUUUUGCGGUAUAUUUCCUCUAUAAAGAUAAUUGUGAAGAGUGUUUGUUCAAUGGAACAUUUUUUCUUCUUCCUGAUUUAGCGUCUUAGUACACUAUAACUAUCUAGAAAGCAUUUUAUAGGAGGCCACAUUCAGACUUCCGUACUAAAUUUUUCAUAGCCUUAUCGUGAUAGUCUCAGUAUAGCUCUCACAUGAGGCCUACUUAUUAU